UACGAGGGGUCCAAGCGUUGCUCGGAAUCAUUGGGCGUAAAGCGGGUGUAGGUGGCUUUGUAAGUCAGGAGUGAAAGCCCUGGGCUCAACCCAGGAAGUGCUUUUGAUACUGCAAAGCUUGAGUGUGGGAGAGGAUCGUGGAAUUCCAGGUGUAGUGGUGAAAUACGUAGAUAUCUGGAGGAACACCAGUGGCGAAGGCGGCGAUCUGGCCCAACACUGACACUCAGACCCGAAAGUGCGGGGAUCAAACAGGAGUUAGAAACCCCUGAUA
rnacentral:rRNA from 1 species